CAGGACCCUGAAACUGAAGCAGCUAAAUGGAAUUCAGCCAUCAUUCAUUCUAUUAUUUACACAUGUGCUUUUUCUACUGUGACAUGUAAAAAUGGUAAAUGGUCCUUCACCAGAUAACUUAAACACUAAACACAUCAACAGACUAAGUUUACUUUCCACAGCAUCGCUCAUCUGGACCUCAUCAAGAACAAAAAUGUCGGAUGUGAAGAAGUCUCUCCAUUGAUGCAUGCUUGAGCUUCAUUUCCUCUCCACUACAUGACAUUUCUACAGUUUGAUCUGCUGGCUCUGCACUUUUUCCAGAGUGGACCAACUCCAGGGGACUUAUGGGAGUUUGAUGCUCCCUCGCUGCCAAAAUGCCAGCAGGCCGAUGAAAAAAGAUAUGUGAAACUCCUAAGCUCAAUAUUUAAUCAAGCGCUGGGUUACAUUUGCUGUUUGAUUAGCAGCCUCAUUAUUAUCCAUGUUUUUUGACCACGGGUCCAUCUUGUCGCAUCCUAAUCAUCCCGGACUGCAGAAAUCCACCUGAGAAUAACCCUGAUGAGCUCGUUCCAGGAGGGCAUUACCACUGGAAUAUCAGCAUCCCAACCUGUCCAAUGAGACGGCGUAGAGGGAGUUUGUGGUGUGCAAUCACUGUAACCCUGGGCAGUCCUCUGUUAUCUGUCUCUGGUGGGCUGCUCUGACUGGGUGCUGCUAGCAUAAUUAGCACAGCACUCACUUUGAUGAUAAAACGGGUAAUAGAGCG